rnacentral:rRNA from 1 species
UACGUAGGGGGCAAGCGUUGUCCGGAAUCAUUGGGCGUAAAGAGCGUGUAGGCGGCUUCGUAAGUUGGAUGUGAAAUCCCACGGCUCAACCGUGGACGUGCAUCCAAAACUACGUCGCUGGAGUCUCGGAGAGGAAGGUGGAAUGCUUGGUGUAGAGGUGAAAUUCGUAGAUAUCAAGCAGAACACCUGCGGCGAAGGCGGCCUUCUGGACGAUGACUGACGCUGAGACGCGAAAGCGUGGGGAGCGAACAGG